GAUGAAGAACGUAGCGAAAUGCGAUAAGUAGUGUGAAUUGCAGAAUUCAGUGAACCAUCGAAUCUUUGAACGCACAUUGCGCCCGGCAGUAAUCUGCCGGGCAUGCCUGUCCGAGCGUCAUUUCUGCCCUCGAGCGAGUCCAGCAUCUAGGUGCUGGGCCCGCCCGGCGUUGGGGCACUACGGGAAGCCCUGUGCUGUCCCCCGUAGGCCCCGAAAUGAAGUGGCGGUCCUGCCGCGGCGCCCCCUGCGUAGUAUAACAGCUCGCUUCGGGACCCGGUGGAGGCCUGCCGUCAAACCUUACUCUCUAAGUUUGACCUCGGAUCAGGUAGGGUUACCCGCUGAACUUAAGCAUAUCAAUAAGCGGAGGA
rnacentral:misc_RNA from 1 species